rnacentral:lncRNA from 1 species
CUUAGUUAAAACAUGAAUUUAUUUUUUAAAAGUAUCCAGUAUAAGUAAAAUUAUAGAAAUAAGAAAAUGUUACACAACAACUUUGCUAUUCCUACCCUUACCUUCUUACUACUUUUGGUUUGGAAGAGGGUAUCAGCCACUAGAAAGUGAGCCUCCUUACAUUUCUUAAAGGAAAGUUAGUUUCAGUAUUUCACAGCAAGUUGGACUGUACGAAAUCUAGAGUUGAUCUGCUUUUUAAACCUUCAUCUAAAAGCAAACUUGGAAGAAAUUUGAAACUGUUGUUUUUAGUAUGUGUCUGUUUUGCCUAGAUUUUCUUUCUUUAAAUAGGUAUGUGAUUAAAACCUUUGUAAAUUUUGCCAACUAAUAUUAGUACCUGACUUCCCAUAUUUGUUUCAUCUUUUUUAACUGACAGUAUAUCUCACUUGUUCUCUGAAUAGAAUGAGUGAUCUCAGUUUUCACGUUUUAUUCAGAAGCUAAUCCCUACUUAGCAAGGCACACGUUCUACAGCAAGUCAUAGAAAGUGUAAUCCUUGUGCCUAGUUAGCUCUCCUGUAUUCAGGGAUCUCUAUAAAACUUUGUGUCUUUUUUCAUCAGCCCCUAUAAAAGUUGGUGUCUUUUUUCAUCAUCAUAAAUUCAUCAUAACCACAGAUAUUUUUGGGUCUAAAUAAGAUAUUCAUAUACCAGGGAUGGUUUUAUAAAGAAUUCUGGGAUCAUUGAAUUAAGGAUUGUGGCUUGAAGUAACUAGAGAAAAAUACUAAUUUCUUUAGAAGGAAUUAUAAUUAUGAUUUACAUUUUACAUCAUUUAUUUCCCAAAUUAUAUUUAACCGUAAAGAGGUGCACAUGAGUUUUUAGCAAACAGAUAUGAAUAAGCAGGUAUGUAUAUGUGUUUGGGGCAUAGGGGAGCAGGUUACGUUCCUAACACACUUCAGAAUUAAAAUUAGCUCGUUUCAUGACUAUGUGCCUUAACGUUUGUGUGAACUAAACUUGCUGAUUGAAUGAAAUUCUUGGGAAGCCGAACAGUAAUAGCAGAAAAUGUGACCAAUUUCUUGAAGAUGGCUCUUUGCAGCCUACGUGGUAGUGGAGAUAUAUUCAAAGGACUUCCCUAGUAUCGUUGGACCAACAAGCACAAGCAGAUGGCAGGAAGAUUAGAACAUUGGAUAUUGAUUGCCAGUUUUUAAGGUGUGUUAAUUUUCUUGUGAUUAAUGUUUUAAGAGUCCUUUGUAAGAUACACACUGAAAGGUGACUAAUCUGUAAUAAGAUUAACUAUAAGGAAGUUAUAAGGUAAUGGGAGGAGUGCAUUGGUUGGGUGGAGAGGAAACAAGGUUAACCGUGAGUUGAUAAUUUUGAGGCUAGUUGGUGGAUUCUCCACUUAUAUAUAUAGGCAUCCCUCAAUAUCCAUGGCGUUUGGUUUCAGGACCACCCCCACCUUAUGAAUGUUAAAAAAAAAAUCCCUAGUAUUAAAUGAC